UGAGGAAUAUUGGUCAAUGGGCGAGAGCCUGAACCAGCCAAGUCGCGUGAAGGACGACGGUUCUAUGGAUUGUAAACUUCUUUUGUAGAGGAAUAAUGGCAGCUACGUGUAGCUGAGAUGCAUGUACUCUACGAAUAAGUAUCGGCUAACUCCGUGCCAGCAGCCGCGGUAAUACGGAGGAUACGAGCGUUAUCCGGAAUUAUUGGGUUUAAAGGGUGCGUAGGUGGCGUAUUAAGUCAGUGGUGAAAAGCUGCAGCUCAACUGUAGUCUUGCCGUUGAAACUGAUAUGCUAGAGAGGAGACGAGGUAUGCGGAAUGUGUGGUGUAGCGGUGAAAUGCAUAGAUAUCACACAGAACGCCGAUUGCGAAGGCAGCGUACCAGGCUCCGUCUGACACUGAAGCACGAAAGCGUGGGGAUCAAACAGGAUUAGAUACCCUGGUAGUCCACGCAGUAAACGAUGAAUACUAGAUUUUUGCGAUAUAGUGUAAGAGUCUAAGCGAAAGCGAUAAGUAUUCCACCUGGGGAGUACGCCGGCAACGGUG
rnacentral:rRNA from 1 species